rnacentral:tRNA from 1 species
CGGGGCGUGGCGCAGCCUGGUAGCGCGCUUCGUUUGGGACGAAGAAGUCGCUGGUUCGAAUCCAGUCGCCCCGACCA